rnacentral:rRNA from 1 species
GAUGAACGCUGGCGGCGUGCUUAACACAUGCAAGUCGAACGGCAACGUGCCGUAGCUUGGUAGGUUUAUUGCGGGUAGCGAACGUGUAACUAGUGCAUCGGAACGUGCCUUCUAGGGGAUGAUUACGUAACGAAAGUUACAAUAAUACCGCAGAGUCUCUGAGGAGGGGAGCGGGGGACAUUCUUGCCGUGGGCUGGAAGAGCGGCCGAUGUCGGAUUAGCUAGUUGGGGAGGUGAAGGCUCAACAGGGCAACGAUCCGGAGCGGGUCUGAGAGGAUGAUCCGCCACACUGGGACUGAGACACGGCCCAGACUCCUACGGGAGGCAGCAGUGGGGCAUUUUGGACAAUGGGCGCAAGCCUGAUCCAGCCAUGCCGAGUGAGUGAAGAAGGCCUUCGGGUUGUAAAGCUCUUUCGGCUGGGAAGAAAUCGCACCCUCUAAGACAGGGUGUGGAUGACGGUACCAGCAGAAGAAGCACCGGCUAACUACGUG